GACGGACGCUGGCGGCGUGCUUAACACAUGCAAGUCGAACGGAGUGGCGAACGGGUGAGUCACACGUGGGUGACCUGCCCUGCACUUCGGGAUAAGCCUGGGCAACUGGGUCUACUAUCGGCUAGGGUGGGAUGGGCCCGCGGCCUAUCAGCUUGUUGGUGGGGUAAUGGCCUACCAAUGGGGCGACGGGUAGCCGGCCUGAGAGGGUGGACGGCCACAUUGGGACUGGGACACGGGCCAGACUGCUACGGGAGGCAGCAGUGGGGAAUAUUGCACAAUGGGCGGAAGCCGGAUGCAACGGCGCCGCGUGGGGGAUGACGGCCUUCGGGUUGUAAACUCCUUUCACCAUCGACGCGGUAGAUGGAGAGGAAGCACCGGCUAACUACGUGCCAGCAGCCGCGGUAAUAC
rnacentral:rRNA from 1 species